UGCAUCUGCAGCCCAUGAGGAUGAGAACCUCCGGGGGCAGGGAGGUUCGACUCGAGCGAAGCGAGAGAACGUUGCGCCAGCAACGGCCCGCAGGGCGAGCCACGAAGUGGCGAGUAAUCC
rnacentral:sRNA from 1 species